GACGAACGCUGGCGGCGUGCCUAAUACAUGCAAGUCGAGCGGACGGAUGGGAGCUUGCUCCCAGACCGUCAGCGGCGGCCGGGUGAGUAACACGUGGGCAACCUGCCUGUAAGACUGGGAUAACUCCGGGAAACCGGGGCUAAUACCGGAUAACUCUUUCCCUCGCAUGAGGGAAAGCUGAAAGAUGGCAUCUCGCUAUCACUUACAGAUGGGCCCGCGGCGCAUUAGCUAGUUGGUGAGGUAACGGCUCACCAAGGCGACGAUGCGUAGCCGACCUGAGGGGGUGAUCGGCCACACUGGGACUGAGACACGGCCCAGACUCCUACGGGAGGCAGCAGUAGGGAAUCUCCCGCAAUGGACGAAAGUCUGACGGAGCAACGCCGCGUGAGUGAUGAAGGUUUUCGGAUCGUAAAACUCUGUUGUCAGGGAAGAACAAGUACCGGAGUAACUGCCGGUAUCUUGACGGUACCUGACCAGAAAGCCACGGCUAACUACGUG
rnacentral:rRNA from 1 species